UCUGCAAAAUUGAUGUUAGAUACUUCAGAUGAAAUUCUGCUGAGCUUUAAGGGAAUGUGCAUGAGCUCUCCCAAACGUGACCGUUGCUGUUCCGUCACCCACCACACCAGCUGGGUUAUUUCGCUGGGCAUGGAGGAAGAGCUGCUAUUCCCAGUAACCUGGACAAGUUUUUUACCUGUCACACAGUGCUCCUUUCGUAGAAGCUGUCCAAACCCAGGACUAAGGUUUCUACUGAGAAGUUCCAGGUUUUGGCAUGCCUUGUCCGCACUCACCGAUCCCACCAGCAGCUGUAGCACCAUCUCACCAAUUCCAGCUCCAGUCACUAACACGGUUGUGGCACAGCCUGCAAAGAAAUAGUGCAAGUGAUGUGGCAUGGAACAGGUGAACCAGCCAGCAGGAUCAGCCUGGAGCUCUUUUAUGGAUCUCUCCAUACAAGAUUUACAAAUACUUAAUGUAUGUUCCCAUCUAGUGUUGAGAACAUCUCUUCUAACCUGCGAUAGUGCAGAAAGGUUUAAGUUUAAGUCAAAAAGCCAUCUCCUGUCACUUUUCUCUGUUGGCAGAGGUGACGUUGCUUCUUGCUGGAAAGAUUUUCAUUCUUCAGUAUCACUGCCCCAGAGACGGAGGUUAGCAGAGACUUCCUCCAAGAGCUGGCCAAACGCUGGGCUUUUCAGUUCCCUGAUAAUCUGGAUGAUGUUUUCAAAACCGGCUCUCUGUGAGCCUCUAAAGCAGACGUUUCUGUCAGUCCCUGAGAACCCUAAAGGUGCAGGAAGCUAAGAACCAGUCUGGAUCCCUGCCUGGAGAAAUUUUUAGUACACCAAAGCUGGGAUUUGUGCUGGUUUUCUGACCAUAAGCUUGAAUAAACAUGGUAUUCAAAGGAUGUCCUCGGUGUAGGCCAGCAUGCUGGGGAACGUGCUGCUGAGGAACAGCCCCAGAGACGCUGUCCCCACAAACAAGAAGACGACGCUGUAGGAGAAAAUCAGGAGCAGGAGGAAAGUUAUCAGGACUCCAACCUGUGAACGACACACACAGAGUCAGUAGAAGGGUAUAACGCCAAGCUGCGACAGGCUCUAGAUUGUAUUUUAUCCUUUUUUUGCAGUAAAUGGUCUGGAAAAGAAAAUAAGUUAUACUGGAAGAAAGACCACAAUCUCUGAAAAGCUGAAGCAGCUAGCCAAAUAAAAUCCGUCUGCCUUGACAGUGAAGAAUUUGGUACUUUUUAGAACAGGACUCGGUAACAUAACUUGGUACUUAAGUCUCACGGUCAUUAGGUAGAGACUUAAGAUUAUAUCUGAAAAAAGUACUUUCUUCCUCUGCAGCUUUCAUGCAAGAGUACUGCUACUUCCACAACAUGUUCAUGUCCCAGUCGCUGCUCAGCCUUAUCCAGCAGGCUCUGCCGUGCUGCAGUGAGCAAGCGACAGCAAAUCCCCCCGGUGCCCCAGGCUCGCCAGGGCACCACGGCAGCGGAGGCAGCUCUGCAAUACCGACCCCAGGUAUUUUGUCUUAGUUGUUCAGGCCCUGAUUGUGAGCAUGUGCAUGUACGCAAGAGCCAUUUGGAUUCUAAAGCAGCUGAAUUCAAACGGCAGCUUGCUGCAACGACGCCAGGAGCCGGUGUAUCUUGCCGUAAGUAGCAGCACCAACUAGCAAGCGUUUCAGAGAGCGUUCUGUGUCGGUCAAGUGAAUUUUUAUUCUCAUGGUGCUACCCCCUUUGCAUUUAAGGGGAAGCGAGAAGGUUUCCAUGCAAGGCUGGAGGCUGUUCCUGCUUCUCUCCAAAUAUUAGCAGCAGCUAAAGCAAAACUCCUGUCCUCGGGUUUGUUAAUGGUGCAGUUAGGACCAGGGAUGAAGUCAGCAGCGUGCAUCAAGGAGAUGCAUGGGCCUGUCCGUACGAUCGAUCUGCUGACGCUGAGCUUUCCUUGCUCCCCUGUCAGCAGUCGCUCUGUGCCGAAGGAAGAGAUUGCACUCAUUUUAAAAAAACAGUCGUGUUUUGUUCAGCUGUAUCUUUUGGCAUUCAAAGCUGGGUUCGUAAAGUGACCAGCAAGAAGGUUUGGAGCCGUCUGCCUCACCUGCUCUGGCCCGCAAUGGACACGGGCUGAAAUCCUCAAACCCAUCUCAGUGGGAACCAUCACUCCUGUUCUUUCACCACCCUGCUACCUAUUCUUGGCCUCGCAAUAUUAACUGUGAAACUUGGUACCAAAAUAACUUCUGGUUUAAAUAAAUGGUAAAUCAACUGC